rnacentral:rRNA from 1 species
ACGAACGCUGGCGGCGUGCUUAACACAUGCAAGUCGAACGGAAAGGCCCUGCUUUUGUGGGGUGCUCGAGUGGCGAACGGGUGAGUAACACGUGAGUAACCUGCCCUUGACUUUGGGAUAACUUCAGGAAACUGGGGCUAAUACAGGAUAGGAGCUCCUGCUGCAUGGUGGGGGUUGGAAAGUUUCGGCGGUUGGGGAUGGACUCGCGGCUUAUCAGCUUGUUGGUGGGGUAGUGGCUUACCAAGGCUUUGACGGGUAGCCGGCCUGAGAGGGUGCCCGGCCACAUGGGGCUGAGUUUACGGCCAGACUCCCACCGGAGGCAGCAAGGGGGAAAAUUUCACAAAGGGCCGAAGGCUGAUGCCGCAACCGCCCCGUGGGGAAGACCGCCCUUCGGUUUGAAAACCCCUUCCGCCUGUGCCAAGCCUUAGGGGACGGAAUUGGGAAAAGAGGAACCGCCAACCAAGUU